GGCUGGUCCGGGGGCAGUGGUGUUUACAACUAAGUGAUCACAACCAGUUAUAGAUUGCUCUGUUCCUUCUCCACUCCCACUGCUUCACUUGACUGGCCUUUA
rnacentral:Y_RNA from 1 species